rnacentral:misc_RNA from 1 species
UCAAUUUUUGCAGGCUUACUAUCCAGAGCGUCUGGCGAAGUUCUUCAUUUUAAAUAUGCCACGAUUCUUCAUCAGUGUUUGGAAGAUGAUUUCUCGAUUCCUAGAGAAAGCAACACUGGAAAAGAUUGUGAUUGUUAGCAAAGAAGAAGAAAGAACAACUCUUAUUAAGGAAAUUGGUGACGAAGUCUUACCAGAAGAGUAUGGUGGUCGAGCCAAUCUUGUAGCUCUCCAAGAUGUUACACUGCCCUUAUUAGAGGAUUGAUCCUAAAAUAGAUCAAAAGGGAGGCUGCAAAUGUUGCCUCUAUAAAAGGAUUGAUACUAACACAGGUUAAAAAGGUGGCUGCUACAGAGUGCAAUUCUUUUGCCCAUCUGAUAAGAUCUAUGAUAGGAGGUAAUCUUCGCCCUUUUCAUAACCCCUCCUAAUAAGCUGCAUAACAGAGUACUUCUUACUGUAACUCCCCUGUCCACAUCUAGUGGGACUCGAAUUUAAGAUCUCUUGGUGGACUUCCCAAUCCCAAAUACUCAGUACUGGAUUUUCCAUAUGAGAAUGGCAGAGUUCAUAGUCAUUCUAUGCAUGAAUGAAAUAAUUAUUGGCAAUAUCAGGGUUAAUUCUAAUUUAAAUACAUUUUCAUCAAUGGUGACUAGCUAAUGUUGUGCUGCUUUUGCAAGUUCCCUUCUCAAAGAAAUUUUGGAAAGAGAAUUUGCAAUUGUGUGGUCUCAGUUUAUUAUGAUAGUAUCUCAAAGACAUUUGGAUGAGAUGUUGCUGGUGUGUUUCAAAGUAAAACAGGCACUGCAUUCCAAUCUCAUUUUAACUUUGAAAUUAUACUCAACUAGACAAUUGUCUGAGCAUUGCGUGGAUUUUUUUUAAUUCCUUAAAUUAUUAUUGUAUAAAAUCAGGAGAUGUCAUUUUAUUUCUGAUUGUAUUUAUAACAAGGCUCUUGCCUGCAUGUUGCG